AAGUCAAAUUCAAAGCUUGCCACUUCUAUUCACAGUGAAUGACUUCAGAGUCAAAAGAAUAACAGGGUGUGUACAGCCUGAAAAGAAUAUUGCUGGUAAAAUUCUAAGGAUGCCUCUUAAAAUGGGCAAUUGCUCACCAUGUCAGCUGGAAUAAAGUUUGUCACAUUGCAUGUCUAGAUGCAAUAUGGUGAUAUAUGCAAUUUCAGUCACUCUUUCCAAACUGUGGGCUUUAUCUGAAAUGCUCUCAUACCCUGAACUGUCUGCAUUUUCAUUAAAAGAAUGAAUGUUCCUGUCAUCAUCUUGGUAGGAAUACCAACAGGAAAUAAGCUACCUCUAAAUGAAAAGAUGGAUUUUAUUAUUUGUGAAACCAAGGAAAUAUUACUCAAACAUACAACUUGGCUGGCAGAUGGUUUGUUUGGAGUAUGGAAUUAGUGCUUUUGCAGGAGUCUGACAAAUAGCCUAGGGUUUCUGACAACGCACCGGCAUGCCAGUGGCUGCAUGAUCUUACAGAGAGCAUUAACUUCUCUGUGCAUCAGUUUCUUCAUCAGUAAAACUGCAAUAAUCAUUUUCUGCUGGAGUUUCCAACUAAUAGGCUUGCUAUGCCCUGCAAAGCACUCAGAGAUCUCUGUCUGGAACAAACUACAGAACUGCAAAGUAUUAUUGCUAUUAGAAGUCCAUUACAGCUCUGUUUUGCUUUGUUCAUACUGGCCCUUUGGUACGUGCAGCUAGACAGCUCCCAGUGUUAUCUUGAUGCACAAAGCACUUUUUGUGUGAGGUUUGACUCACACUAAAAUGCCAGUUAGAAUUUUUUCCUCAGGAACUCACUGGAGCUUGGCUUACAGAAUCUGAAAAUUAAAUCAACCAAAAUAGGUCAAACACAAAACUAUAUGUCCUUAUGUGUCCCCUUGUCCUCUUUUAGCAGCACAGCGCAGUUGUUGUUUUCUUGUUGCUUGGGCCUGUUUCAUUCUUCAGCCAGUUUUGGUAACUAUAUCUUGGUUACGUUUUGAAUACCUGCUCUUGAGAGUUUUCUGUUCCUAUUAAAUAUAGUUUAGAAGGACACACUCAUCUGUUAGUGGUCCAGAAAUAACGUGCCGCAUGCACCAGCAGCUGAUGCGACUGAACGCGAUACGAAAGUGUAUCAUUCUGUUACAGUUUGUUGGUAGACAUCAGUACAGAGAUAUUUUUGUACCUUAAAAAAAGGAAUAGUGUAUCGGAAAUUGAAUCAAACGUUAACAGAAGGUGCAGUUUGUGGUUUACUUUUCCUUCAUAGCUAGUUCUUUAGGGGAAUUAUUUCUGUUCACAUAAUCCUUUAAGCUAAUGUAUUUAUUUUAUAUGUGGUUUAUAACUUCAUUCGUAUGUCAAGUAGCUGAAGGUGCUGUUUAAAUUAGUAUUUACUUCAGUAUUAUACCUUUUUGAAUUGGUUGUUCAUUACAGUCAUAUUGCAGUGAAUAAAUGUGUUAAUAUUUGAAGUGGGAAGGGAGGUAAAAAGGGAAACUGUCUGCUCCAGUCAGGGCCCAGCUUUCUGGUUACAACAUAUUAUAAUUUAUUUAAACUCAAUCAAUACUUAAUCUGGAGUUUAAAUUCUGCUAAAGAUCUGUGGCAUAGCUAAAAGCAGCUGAUGCCAAAGAAAAAAAAAAUUUCUUCAGGCUGUGAUUCUGAUGUAUUUAUAAUGCGCUCUAAGGGUGAUGCAUUGACCUAAAUUCACAGAAUCUCUGCAAUUCGUACUUAUUAUUGUGAAAGGUGUCCUACCAACACUUUUCUUCUGAACGUUGUGAGCCUGUGCGGGAAAGAUGACUGGCUGUAGAGGAAGGACUGCAUGCACUGCCUGGGUCUCCCCGCAUCCCCAGGGAGGGGUGGGAUGGGACAGAGCACAGCCUGAGCCCUGCUGGCCCCACGCCACAGACCAGGCGGUGGCUCACUGUAACCCUGAGAUUCAAGGCAAGAAUUAAUUCAGCACUGCAAAAAUCUGGCAACUGUUUGAAGCCAGUAGUGAAGGCAGACUUCCUGAGAGGUGUGUGUUUGCGGUGACAAUUUGGAUUUAUUUUGCGGGCAAUGUGAAAGACAUUGUUACGGCAGGAAGAAGACAGUUGCGUUGAAAACUGCUUCUCCUUUUUAGUUUUUUUUUCCCCUUAAGCCUUUCUGGGGAAUAGAUUUCGAUCUCUGCAGGGUUUGGUUUUCUCUGUACAGCUCUUUAAACUCCCCCAAGCACAGCCAUCUCAGGGCAGGGCCCACGGGCAGCUCCUACCAGCACUGCGGGGAUGCGUACACACCAUUUUCUUGUUAGACCAGGCAACUUCAUAUUUCCCAGCACAUUUUGGCAAGCUUUUUCUCAGAGUUGUCCAACAGCUUUUCGUAGUAAGUGAAUGACUUCCCAGUGACCUGAACCCUCUUCCAAGCCUCCUUUUUCACCCUGACAGCUCACAUUCAUGCUUUUCUGAUUUUGUGCAAAGCUAUACGUUUUACCAGAUUUAUAACUGCAGGAGACUUUUCUAAAAAUUAAAAAAAAUUAACUGAAUGAAUAAUGGAAAUGUACUGUGAAUAAAGGCUGACAAUCAUCCCCCUUCUUUCAUGAUAUGAUAUGCUGUCCUCAUGAAAAGGGAGAAGACCUCCAUUCUCCCUCCUAAUUGAUACGUGAAUACUUGUCAGAUGUGGAUUUCCUAGGCAGCCUGCAAGGCAGGACUCACCCCUGCACCGUUCAUCCCCAGUCCCUCACCUGUGUGCUUUUGGGGCAUCACAUCAGACACUCUCCCAGCUUGUGUCUUCUUGCUCUGUUUUGUGCCCACCUCUGCUCAUAUUGCUACUGUAGUCAAAUUCUUGUUGUGGUUUAUGCCAGAAUAAAUAUCAGCUAGCAUAAAUCUGCAGGCUUAGAAGGCAUUAGCCUGCCUUUACUGUAGCACAAUCAACAGCUGUACCUGGCACCACAACCUCAUUCCACCCCAGAGCGGCAGCAUCCAGAGCCUUGCUGCGUUGGAGGAGCAGAGCCAGCCAUGCUUGCUGAGGUUUGUUCCUCUGGGCUGGCCCUGAGGAUGUUCUCAUCCUCAGCAUGCAAACACAGCUUCUCAGCAAGAGCGACUAUUAGUUCCAGCUUUAACCUUUACUUAAAAAUAUGAAGCUGCUGAACAAAAAUGCAAGGAUUUUGUGUUCAAACUCAUGCCUAACUCAGAGAGCUGGGCUCCUAGAACCAACUGUGAAUUUCAGUCUAGCAGCAAGAAAGUUUAUGUUCAACUUCAGUUUUUCUUCUAGCUACAAUGCUCAAAGGGAGUACUUCUGUACUCAGAUACAGGAGUUAUGAUACAUUUACCUGCCGAAAAAGUGGAUUGGAGUUCUUGUGCCCUUCCUUCCCCCCAACAUGGCAACUUGGAACUGUAUCAACACAGCUACAGAUCAUGAGUGACCACUGGCAGAGUCAUAUACAAAACCUGCAGUUAAUAUCUGGAAAAAUAAGUUUAAAAACUGAGGAAGAUAACGAGAAGUUCCAAAAAAAGACUAAAGCUGUAUCUCAAUCCUUAUCAUUAUGGUCUGACCAAAUCUCCCCAACAUAUCUUUAGUGUUUAUGUUUCAUGUAAGGACUAUUUUUCUUUUCUUUUUUUUUUUUUUUUAGAAGUUUUAUUAGAGUUCAUGAUCUGUCUUGCUUUUUGUUAGGGAGAUGGAAAAAAAAAACAAAACCCCACCAUUCAUCAUAAUUCUUUGGUAUUGCUAUUAUGGCCAGGAGAAAAGAGGGCUUCUGCUAGUUCGUGUACAAGUCAAAAGCAAGGCAUAUUCCUUUCCCCACAAGAUCCCAAGCAGAAGAGUUGGUAGAUGGAUAAGAUAAAAAUGGGUAUCAAUUGUGAGAGACAGGCUGACAAAAAAAAAAAAAAAGUGUGCAUAGUUUUUUCACUAAUCUAGAAUAGUAAUUGUACUUUGCUUACAUGUCUGAUUAUGUUUAGGUGCCGAUUUUCUUUCCAUGUAACAAAAGAGGUGACUUUCAUGAGAAUAAUCUGAAGGAGGUUGUGGUGGGUGACUGGUUUUUUGUUUUUUGGUUUUUUGAGUUUUUUGUUUGUUUGUUUGUUUGUUUGUUUUUUAAUGCAGAAUUUUUUUACCAGGUCGACAGACCAGUUUCUCUCCAUUGUUCACAAAGCUAUACAGUAUUUUUUUUUCCUUCCCACUGUGCCUUGAAAAAAACUUUUUGGCUUCAGUUCAUGUGUGAAACCUUUUGCACAACAGAAGUGGUUUCUUGUGGCCAGUAAGACUAAAUGUUCUGAGCAUUCCAGGAAGCAUAUAAAUAGACUGAUACUCUUCCUAAGGUUAUGGAGCAUUACUUCUCCCUUUUUUCUUUAUUUCUCUUCCUGUCUUACUUCCCUACCUUCAGUUAUGCUCUCUACAUCUAGGCAAAGAUCAGAGUGCAGUGUUUGAAAAUCCUGACUAUCAUUUUCCAUUUUACUUGGGUUUGCCUUAGUUACAUUUCUGAAUAGAAAUUGUUCAAGUAAAUGCAGCACAGUAAAUUAUCUUAAAUUACUUCUUACAGUCCAGACUAGUAUUAUAACAUGAAAAUUGUUACUUGGAGUCUCCCACGCCCCUGGCUGCUGCAGACCUAUGUCUCCAGGCUGGGGAGAAAUGGAUCACAGUACUUCCCCAGCAGAGCCUGCAGGCCAAUCCACCACAUGGAAAGUGGAGUUCACAUAAAAGAGGUCUCUUAUCCCUUCCUCUCAAUCCUGCUAGAUACAGCAAAGCUGUCACAAUGGUCAAAUAUAAUUAAAAUGGUGAUCCACCACUGAAGAGUAGGCCAAUGUCUAUGCAGAAACCAGAUGAGAAAUUAUUCAAGCCAAAAACAUGAAAUCUCAGCUCAUCUGUGGUUACCAUAAAAAAGCCAUUCUGUCUCUUUGAUCUGUGAUGAAUUUGAAUGUGUGUUAAUAAGACAUAUAUGUUGGGCAUCAGCAUCGUCUUCUGUUGAACGAAGGUAAACAUUGCAUUCGUCUCUGUAAAACAUACUUCAGUAGUUGGGAAGAAAAGUGGAGAUUCAUUAUUUUUGCAGUUGUAGAAGACAUUCAGCAGCUGUGUUUAUACUGGCAGACAAUUUGGAUAUUAGGUGGCAGGACAGAGAACUGCAGAUGCACAAUAUCGUGCAGACAUUGUGCACUUACAGCACAUUUUCAGGGAAACAUGUUAUUUUAUAUUUCCCUUGGUGUCAUUAAUCACGUUUCAUGAUGUAUCUCACUAUUUCAAAUCAUUCCCCUAGAUUCAUUCAUUUUUUGGCUUGUUUAUAUAAUAGUUAUUGAGCUCCAUUUCAACAAAUUCCAUCUUAACUACAGAUAUCAAAGUUCCUUUUGCUUCAGGGGAGAAAAUUAACAUGGCCCUGUACUGAUUUCAGAGACUACCUGUAAUAAUCAGCAUGUCUGCUAUAUAAGAAAGAUAUUUUGUUUGCCUUUGGUCAGAAAAAUGUUCAUGCUGUUCUUUGCAAGUUAAAAAUUAAACUUAUUUCCUGAAAGUAAAAAUACGGUUCUUAUCUUGAACUAUGAAGGAAAACAGCGGCACUUUACUCUGUUCUUGAAGUUCUCCAAUCCCUCUGGAGGCUUUGUUUUGGUUUUACAGGUGAAUCCCUUAAACUGCAGCAGUGAUGAUGGCUCAUCUUUGGCAGAAACGUGCUGAGAAGCAGUUGGGAAUCUCCUGCUUGGGAGCUGCAGCCUGAGGAACUUCAGCGUGUAAGAAGUGUGUAAGGAGUGCCUUUGAGGACUCUUCUUAAAGGAAUUCUAAAAAGGGAAACUCAGGAAUGCCUACCUGACUGUCCCAGAGAAUUGCCAUCCAAAGGAGCAGCCUACAGCAGCGCAAGCAUUUCACCUUCUGGAUUUGUAGAGACGGGAUUUGUUGAUGCUGAAGGGAGGAGGAAGUCAAGAGAGAAAAAAAAAAAAUUCUGGGAGUGUUUAAACUGUCUCCCAAUAGAUCUGUGUAUGGCAGAGAAAGGAUCCCUGUGAUGUUUCAUACAACUAGAAGUGAAGGUUUUAAUUCAGCGUUCACAAUAUAUGAUUUCAGCAUUCAGAUACUUCCACAUACAAGCCAGAACCACUAUAUGCUACCAUCAUUCCAAGUAAAGUGUAGAAUUGCUGUUAUAUCUGCAUGUCUGGGAGGUGGCAUGCUAGUGACCUGAUGUAUGUGUUAUCCAGCAUACGGAUUUUCCAGAGUGAUCUCCAAAUUGUAAUGGACAACCUCUUUCCUGCCAGCAGAGCCCAGAGAGGAAUAAACCAAGACCACCAGCUAAGUCACUGCGUAAUGUGCUAUGGAUAUAAGCAUUGAAUGCCCUCAGUGGCAAUGACUCAGGACCAAGUCGACCUUUUGCAGGAAUUACCUGCAAAGGAAACUGGGAACUCCACGACAUCUGUCAUCCUUCCCUCCAGAUGGUGCCUCCAAAUCUCUUCUGAAAUGGUGUGUGCAGAGCAGACAAAGAGUGCCUAUCACUCAGCCCUCUGGUGGCCCUCCGGGACAGAGAGAAUACAAAAUCAGAAAUAAGGACUUGCAAACGUGGCUGAAGAUGCCCAGAGAGUCGUGUAUCUGACAGCCAGAGAGAGACAGAUGACGAGCUGUACAACAUUACACUGCACCACUGCUGAGAUAAAGAGUACUAGCUGAAUUCAUCUGAAAAAAUUAACAUCUAAGAUAUACCUGAGAUCAAGCAUAAAAUAAAACUUGAAGAAUUUACUGAGUAACAAGAAAUUUCACAGCUCCAAAGAGUGAACCUACCAUGGAUUAGUACCAGAGACAGAAAUACUUCCUCUAAAACCAUGAAGGAAGUCCCGGAAUCUAGCCCUUUACCACUGAACUGCUGUGGCUUGAUUGUGUGAAACUGAAUUUCAAGAUGCAAGAUACUGUUCAGAUAGUUCUGCAAUAUAUUCCUCAGAUCCAGCAGCUUUGGCAGGAGAGAGCCCAUGGGUGAUGGAAUAACCAGAUCUCUGCGUACAUCCCAUGAAAAACAGACCCUUUCUUCUGGAUUCCACAGGAUUCUCCCAGCAGCCAGCCUUGUUUACAGAAGUCAGCAGGAAUAGUAACAGCUCUUCACAAAUGAGCCAUGGAGAAACCUUUUGGGAAGGCACCUCACAGUGCUUUGUCAUCUGCUGACAAACUGGUGCCAGGACCAGAACUUCAUAAUAAAGUCUUCAGAGAAAAUUUUGCAGCAGAUCAAGGAAUCUCAAAGUGCUCAUGCAACGUGAUUUCUACAUUAAACAAGCUCUUAAGUGAAAGCGUUCUCAGCUUUCAAGUUAAGGUUUAAAAAUCCAGCACGGAACGGAUGAAGUGAAAUGUUUGUUUUGGACCGCGCGUUGACAAAGGGGAGGAAACCCCUCGCUGUGGGAUGGCAGCAGCGGGUCAGAGGCGUGUAAGCAGCCGUUACCGCCAUCCAGAGGAGAGCAGCCAUCAGCCGUCAGAUUUCAUUUUGUUGUGUGCGUGGAAAGGAGAACCCAACCGGUUGGUCUGGUUCGUGCUGAGACAUCCCAGAGGAGAAAAACAACAUCCAAAAUGACAACCGGUUUCAUACGGCCUGUUUUUUAAACUUGAAGUCCAAACAAAAGCAAUCUUUUGGUAGAGAUCUGCGUUAGAAGCUGGCAGGAGCACUAUUGAGAUGUGAGGAGGUAAACUCCGGCUUAAAGUGAGAGGAUCCCUCGUGUCACUAGUUUCAACCAGAGGAUAUGUGUGUGCUAUGAGAAUAUUCAAUAUGAAAAACGUGGUGCAAAACAGAGGCAACCAAUUGGAGCAGUGCUUCAGACUAAGCUGAGCUGCACUCACAGGAGCAGAGCUGGCAAGGACUGCCAGGUUCAGCCACCCAGCACAGUGCCAGUCUGCGCUGUUGUGAAAGACCUGUGAAUAAAUAUUCAUAGGGAUGAAUUCAGAGGUGAUGGGCAACACAGACUGAGGAAAAGGAGCCCAGAGUCUGUGUUGAGGUAAAUCAUGAAAAGAGGAAACAGAAGAGGAAAAGCAGCUAAGUGAAAGCACAUAACAAAGCUCAAUGUGAGUGUAAGUCUGUCCAGCCUCUGGAGCAGCCAGGAGAAAAGCUUUCAUGCCCCACAGCUGGAAGCUCACCCACAGACCUUCUUCUCUACAUACAGCAGCAAUGGGCCAGGCAACUUCAGUGGGCUCAUAUGUAUGCACAUACUUACCUUCCUGUAAUACCCAAACAUUAAGAAGACAGAUCUACAGCUGAUCCAUUUGAGGCACGCAUGUAUUGGGUUUGUAUUGCACUUACUGAGUAAACUUGAAAUGUGGAGGAGCCCAAAUCUCUAUUCUGGACAGUUUGAGGUUGUUUGGAUCUGACAUUUCUGUGUGUUCACUGACAGAAAUAAGCUCAUUAUGAAGUUGUGUUGGAAGAUGGAUGCCCUUUUUCCAAGUUUUGAGAAGUGUCUAGGCAGAGUAUUUGGACUGCAUUAGAUAAAUCAAGUGAAUGUGAAAAAUCUUCAUUAGAAGGGAAGAAAUAUGUGGUUUUAAGUGUUAAGACAAUUCCACAUAACAUUACCGUUUGCAUCUACACUCACAGUACGCAGAGAGAUUCAUGCAGAUGUCCAAAAAUUGAAAAGGCUUUAAAUGUAUUUUAUCUAAUUGUUUGUUGAACAGUAUUUACCUUUUGCCUUCCACAGGUUGUUUUGAAAUCUGAAUGUGUAAUAACAUCUCUGAAUGUUUUAAUUUAAGCUAAUGUGCUAUUCCUUUAUGUAAAAAGUAAAGGUAUUUUGAAACUCUUUGCUGAA